GAUGAACGCUGGCGGCGUGCCUAAUACAUGCAAGUCGAGCGAACGGACGAGAAGCUUGCUUUUCUGAUGUUAGCGGCGGACGGGUGAGUAACACGUGGAUAACCUACCUAUAAGACUGGGAUAACUUCGGGAAACCGGAGCUAAUACCGGAUAAUAUUUUGAACCGCAUGGCUCAAAAGUGAAAGACGGUCUUGCUGUCACUUAUAGAUGGAUCCGCGCUGCAUUAGCUAGUUGGUAAGGUAACGGCUUACCAAGGCAACGAUGCAUAGCCGACCUGAGAGGGUGAUCGGCCACCCUGGAACUGAGACACAGUCCAAACUCCUAGGGGGGGAAGCGGUAGGGAAUCUUCCGCAAUGGGCGAAAGCCUGACGGAGCAACGCCGCGUGAGUGAUGAAGGUCUUCGGAUCGUAAAACUCUGUUAUUAGGGAAGAACAUAUGUGUAAGUAACUGUGCACAUCUUGACGGUACCUAAUCAGAAAGCCACGGCUAACUACGUG
rnacentral:rRNA from 1 species